ACGAAAGUGAGUGCAAAGCAAGUAGAAUCACAGGAAUGGUCUUUUCAGUAGGUUUUGAGGAUUUCUGAAGUCCGAGACAUAAAGGGAAUGUGCAGGAAGGAAAGGAGAUGGUCAUAAACGAAGUAAAGGAAAUUGAAAUAAGAGGGCUGUGUUUUUUAGUAAUGGCAAAUUAGGGUAGUUGAGACAGGUGGAAGACAAAAUCUUUUUUUUUUUCCUUUUUUUGGAGACGGAGUCUCAUUUUGUCAUCCAAGCUGGAGUGCAGAGGCGUGAUCUAGGCUCACUGCAACCUCUCGGAUUCAAGGGAUUUUCCUGUCUCAGCCUCUCAGAAGAGAACAUCUUCAUAGGAGAGGAGCUCUAGGAACUGAGAAUGCAGGAAAUUGGAAGAAAUAUACAUUAAUAGCCAAGAAUUUAGACAGGACUGGGGAGCCAGGAACAAACAUUUGAGAUGUUGGGCUUUUAAUGGAGUUGCCACGGAUGACAGCAUCAUGAGAAAUGAGGUUUAAAAAUGGAGGAUUGUUCGAGGAGGGAGGAGGGCUGAUCUGAAAGCCACAAGGAGGACAAAUGGAACACCUACCCCCACUACAGGCUGGAAGCUAUCUCCUCUGCAGAACUCUGUGCUAAUGAUAGAAUUUGCAUACUAAUGAUAAUUGCAACCAAGAAAGCUGUAUUCUCUUUCUACUCGAGAUAGAGAGUCUCACUAUGCUGGC
rnacentral:lncRNA from 1 species